AGCGAUCUGGAUUGGGAGUUUCCAAACAUGAACGAAAAGCUCGGGAUCCAAGUUCAGAAUCCGAAAUGAAGGUCUUCAUCCCCGGACGGAGAUUCCGCUCUUUGGCAGGUCGUCCUGCUUCCGGCCCCUAGCUGCUUUUCCAAACGGUCACUUGACUCAUUUCGUGACGGAGCAGGGCCGGCUGCCCCCCCCCCCCCCAUCCCUCCUCCUCCUCCCCCUCCUCCUCCUACCCCUCCUUCUCUUCUUCCUCCUCUUCCUCCUUCUCCUCUUCCUCCUCCCCCUCCUCCUCUUCCUCCCUCUCCUCCUCCUCCUCCUCUUCCUCCUUCUCCUCUUCCUCCUCCCCCUCCUCCUCUUCCUCCCUCUCCUCCUCCUCCUCCUCUUCCUCCCCCUCCUCCUCUUCCUCCUCCCUCUCCUCCCCCUCCCCCUCCUCCUCCUCUUCCUCCCUCUCCUCCCCCUCCCCCUCCUCCUCUUCCUCCUCCCUCUCCUCCCCCUCCUCCCCCUUCUCCUCUUCCUCCUCCCCCUCCUCCUCUUCCUCCCUCUCCUCCUAUUCUUCCUCCUCUUCCUCCUCCUCCUCCUCCUCCUCUUCCUCCCUCUCCUCCUCUUCCUCCUCCCCCUCCUCCUCUUCCUCCUCCUCCUCCUCCUCUUCCUCCCUCUCCUCCCCCUCCCCUUCUCCUCUUCCUCCUCCCCCUCCUCCUCCUCUUCCUCCCUCUCCUCCCCCUCCCCCUCUUCCUCCUCUUCCUCCCCCCCCCCCCCCCUCCUCCUCAACAUCAGCACCAGCGGCGGAUUGUGCUGCUAUGCAGAAUUCACUGUAGCGGAGGUUUCCACCGGCACAGCUCGACCAUCAAUCACAUCCUCACAACUCAAUCUGCUAAAUGGCUCUGAGGAAAAUGAAAGUCUACGCUGUGCGGAUUUAAUAAAUGUUUUGGGCAUCAGGGGAAAAGAAAGCCCCGUAAUACCCCUGAGAUGAAUCACAUGUGAUUCCCAUUAAGCGCUAUAUUUGUACAUUUUCACUCUUUUUCUUGACUUCCAGCAGGAGCUGCAGUAGACCAGCUGCCUGUUGUUCUCUGGUCGCUGCUUUAGUGUCCAAUCAGGA
rnacentral:lncRNA from 1 species